UAGUAACGGCGAGUGAAGCGGGAUGAGCUCAAGCUUAAAAUCUCCSUGCACGUUGUGCGCGGCGAAUUGUAGUCUAUAGAUGCGUGAUCAGCGCGGGCGCUCGGGGUAAGUUCCUUGGAAGAGGACAGCAUGGAGGGUGAUACUCCCGUUUGUACCUGAGUGUUCUGCGCGUACGGUCCGUAUUCUUUGAGUCGCGUUGUUUGGGAAUGCAGCGCAAAGUAGGUGGUAAAUUCCAUCUAAAGCUAAAUAUUGGUGCGAGACCGAUAGCGAACAAGUACCGUGAGGGAAAGAUGAAAAGAACUUUGAAAAGAGAGUUAAAGAGUACCUGAAACUGCUGAAAGGGAACCGAAUCGUUUCCAGUGUCUAUAAUCUGCGGCAUAUUUCACGGGCGAGUGCGUGCGUUUCGGCCUUGUGGCAGCGGUCAUUUUUGGCUGCGCCCGGGGCUGUUUGUGCGUGCGCUUGCGUGUGCCCUGUGCUGCGGUGGGACGUCAAGGUCAGUUCGUAUGCUGCGGGAAAUGGCCGUCGGGGAGGUAGGUCUUAAGCUCCGCUUUUGGCUAUUAUAUCUCGGCGGUUGAGUCGUCGCGGUUGGGACUGAGGUGCCUACAACGUGCUUUUGAGCGCGUGCGUGUCUCUGUGUGCGCGCUGUGCGGAUAGCUUGCUAUGCGCGUGGCGUUGCGUGCGGAUUGAUAUGCGCUGCUGCUUGUUGCCGUUCGGGACUUUGACGAAAUGGCGCGAUCCGACCCGUCUUGAAACACGGACCAAGGAGUCUAACACGCGUGCAAGUGUUUUGGUGUGGAAACCAUAACGCGCAAUGAAAGUAAAGGGCGCCUUACGGCGUCUGAGGUAGGAAACCUUGUCGUUUUUUCGGCGGGGUGGCACUAUCGACCGAUCAUGAGCCUUCGUGGCGAAAGAUUUGAGUUUGAGCACGUGUGUUGGUACCCGAAAGAUGGUGAACUAUGCCUGAGUAGGGUGAAGCCAGGGGAAACUCUGGUGGAAGCUCGUAGCGAUUCUGACGUGCAAAUCGAUCGUCAAACUUGGGUAUAGGGGCGAAAGACUAAUCGAACCAUCUAGUAGCUGGUUCCCUCCGAAAUUUCCCUCAGGAUAGCAGCAACUUAUUUACGAUAGUUUUAUGAGGUAAAGCGAAUGAUUAGAGGAUUCGGGGAAGAAACUUCCUCGACCUGAUUCUCAAACUUUAAAUCUGUAAGACCUGCAGGUUUCUUAAUUGAACUGCGGA
rnacentral:rRNA from 1 species